AUGUAUAAAUUUCCAUUUAAAAAACGGCUGGUUUUGUGGUCCAGGGUCACAUUUAUGGUUUAUAUAUUUUUUUCUCUUUUAUUUUCUCAUCAGCUGUGUUUGUAUGUAUGUGUCAACAUGGUUCUUCUUCACCAUGUUGCAGGUGUGUGUUCAGACCUGCGGUACUGCGUGGGUUUCUGUCCUGGGGAGCGAUUCUUACGCAUGUGGAACCUGGGAUCCAGAAUAAAUGACCCAACACUCACAUAUAACGUGCACAAAGUACACAGCGACGGCACCACGGAGAUUGUAACCAUGCAGAGAUAUCCAAGGUAUGUAGUGUGUCAAAGCACCCGUCCCGGGACUGUGAGAAUCUGGAAUGUGGCACGGACGCGAUUCAAAGGUCGUCCUGUGCAGGUGGAGCAUGGCCUGUUCUCCAGUUCAGACAUCGCUCUUGUACGAGACCUCAAACUCUAUAUCCUGUCUGACCGCGGUACUGCCAACUUCACCGAUACGCCUACAUCUGUCUACCAGACAUUGCUGGUGUAUGACCUUCUUAAAAAGAGCUACAUUAAGAAGCAGACUGGACUGUUCAUCGUGCCCUGUCCUCGACAAGACUAUCGGCUCUUAGAGGGUGAAAUACUGCUGGGCCUUUCAGAAACACGGGAUCAUUUGAUAUUGUGGGAUCUGGACUCUGGCUACAUUAAAGGACGUAUCAAGACGUCCUACAAAGAAACCCUACUCUCCAGCAUGGACAGAGAUUCCCAAAUUAUGUCCUCAAAAGAGAAGACAGGCCUCGUAAUGCCAUGGGACAGGCGCACCGAAACCCAGACGGCAAAAAGGAGGCGACAGGACCGUGAGGUGAAGAGAGAAAAAGAUGAACAGCAGCGCCUCGAAAAAGAGAAAUUCAACUCUGUAGACCAGUAUCUUCUCAGCGGUGAUGAGCGGGUAGAAAAACAGUUGACCAAUAAACAAAACCACUACUCUUUCUCUUUUUAUUAUGAAAUAAUAAACCACAUGUGAGCUACAUGGUUGUGAACUGAAUCUCUCGUUCUCUCUCACUUUUCUCUGUGUAUCACUUAGGUGGUCAUAUGCUCAUAUUUUGCCCAUCAUCUCAACGUCUUCAGUGUGGUUUCUGAGGAGCAUCUGCACACCCUUGAGGACCGCUGGUCCCUUUUGAGCCUCCGUACUGCCGCGAUCACUCACACUGGAGGGUACUUGGUGGUCUCCAACUACAGUGAGGCCCAACAUGCUCCAUACCUCACUGUUUGGGACACACAGCAGGGCAGAGUGCGAAAGAGAUUGAAAAAUGAAGCUGGAAUCUGUUGCAUUGCUGUGAGCGAUGAUGCCUGCAGAGUGGUUUUCGGCAUCGCAGGAUUCAACAAGUUAAAAGUAUGGGAGCCGUUCCGAAGGAAACAUAAAACCAUCUCUGGCUACGGAAGUUUAAAUCUUAACUGGUCCAGCUUGCUCUUUAUCACUGAAGGACAAUCCAAGGCUAUUUUAUUAGCAGAAGCAGUGAGCAUGUGGGACCU
ensembl:lncRNA